CUAUCAUCACCACCACUUGAAUUCACAUUCAAGCGUUUGGUGCUACCUGAAAAACAGAUAAGAGUCGCUGAGAAAAAAAUCUCGUAAAGCCCUCGAAGGUUCGCACCUUCGAGGGCUUUUUCUA
rfam:Haemophilus pittmaniae HK 85 ctg1129913985424, whole genome shotgun sequence.